rnacentral:rRNA from 1 species
AUUGAACGCUGGCGGCAGGCCUAACACAUGCAAGUCGAGCGGAUGAAGGGAGCUUGCUCCUGGAUUCAGCGGCGGACGGGUGAGUAAUGCCUAGGAAUCUGCCUGGUAGUGGGGGAUAACGUCCGGAAACGGGCGCUAAUACCGCAUACGUCCUGAGGGAGAAAGAGGGGGAUCUUCGGACCUCACGCUAUCAGAUGAGCCUAGGUCGGAUUAGCUAGUUGGUGGGGUAAAGGCCUACCAAGGCGACGAUCCGUAACUGGUCUGAGAGGAUGAUCAGUCACACUGGAACUGAGACACGGUCCAGACUCCUACGGGAGGCAGCAGUGGGGAAUAUGGGACAAUGGGCGAAAGCCUGAUCCAGCGAUGCCGCGUGUGUGAAGAAGGUCUUCGGAUUGUAAAGCACUUUAAGUUGGGAGGAAGGGCAGUAAGUUAAUACCUUGCUGUUUUGACGUUACCAACAGAAUAAGCACCGGCUAACUUCGUG